rnacentral:rRNA from 1 species
CCUAGGGGCGGCUGCAGUGGGGAAUAUUGGACAAUGGGCGAAAGCCUGAUCCAGCCAUGCCGCGUGUGUGAAGAAGGCCUUCGGGUUGUAAAGCACUUUCAGUGGGGAAGAAAGCCUUGGGGCUAAUACCCUCGAGGAAGGACAUCACCCACAGAAGAAGCACCGGCUAACUCCGUGCCAGCAGCCGCGGUAAUACGGAGGGUGCGAGCGUUAAUCGGAAUUACUGGGCGUAAAGCGCGCGUAGGCGGUCUGAUAAGCCGGUUGUGAAAGCCCCGGGCUCAACCUGGGAACGGCAUCCGGAACUGUCAGGCUAGAGUGCAGGAGAGGAAGGUAGAAUUCCCGGUGUAGCGGUGAAAUGCGUAGAGAUCGGGAGGAAUACCAGUGGCGAAGGCGGCCUUCUGGACUGACACUGACGCUGAGGUGCGAAAGCGUGGGUAGCAAACAGGAUUAGAUACCCCUGUAGUC